GUCUACGGCCAUACCACCCUGAACGCACCCGAUCUCGUCUGAUCACGGAAGAAAUGAAAGGUUUUGAGGCACCUAGGUGGCUCAGGGGGUUGAGCAUUUGACC
ensembl:rRNA 5S_rRNA 5S ribosomal RNA